UAAGGUUAUAGUUUAUAAAAAUAUUUAAUUUGCACUUAAAAGAAACAAUAGUUUACCUUAA
rnacentral:tRNA from 1 species